GACGGAGGGUGCAAACGUUGCUCGGAAUCACUGGGCGUAAAGGGCGUGUAGGCGGGAAGGGUAGUCAGAUGUGAAAGCCCUGGGCUCAACCCAGGAACUGCAUUUGAAACUCCCUUUCUUGAGUGUCGGAGAGGAAAGCGGAAUUCCUGGUGUAGAGGUGAAAUUCGUAGAUAUCAGGAGGAACACCGGUGGCGAAGGCGGCUUUCUGGACGACAACUGACGCUGAGACGCGAAAGCGUGGGGAGCAAACAGG
rnacentral:rRNA from 1 species